GACGAACGCUGGCGGCGUGCCUAACACAUGCAAGUCGAACGGAACUGUUUUGAAAGAUUUCUUCGGAAUGAAUUUGAUUUAGUUUAGUGGCGGACGGGUGAGUAACGCGUGAGUAACCUGCCUUCAAGAGGGGGAUAACAUUCUGAAAAGAAUGCUAAUACCGCAUGACAUAUCGGAAUCACAUGAUUCUGAUAUCAAAGAUUUUAUCGCUUGAAGAUGGACUCGCGUCCGAUUAGUUAGUUGGUGAGGUAACGGCUCACCAAGACCGCGAUCGGUAGCCGGACUGAGAGGUUGAACGGCCACAUUGGGACUGAGACACGGCCCAGACUCCUACGGGAGGCAGCAGUGGGGGAUAUUGCGCAAUGGGGGCAACCCUGACGCAGCAACGCCGCGUGAAGGAUGAAGGUUUUCGGAUUGUAAACUUCUUUUAU
rnacentral:rRNA from 1 species